CAGCAGCCGCGGUAAUGCGUGGGUCCCGAGCGUUGUCCGGAUUUAUUGUGCGUAAAGCGAGCGCAGGCGGUUAGAUAAGUCUGAAGUUAAAGGCUGUGGCUUAACCAUAGUACGCUUUGGAAACUGUUUAACUUGAGUGCAAGAGGGGAGAGUGGAAUUCCAUGUGUGGCGGUGAAAUGCGUAGAUAUAUGGAGGAACACCGGUGGCGAAAGCGGCUCUCUGGCUUGUAACUGACGCUGAGGCUCGAAAGCGUGGGGAGCAAACAGGAUUAGAUACCCCCGUAGUCCCUGUCUCUUAUACA
rnacentral:rRNA from 1 species